ACAGAAUUAAGACCUAGAAUCAUGCAUGUGGUGAGAAAAGCUGCAGCAGUGACUGACUGAAAGGGCUGACCCAUCACACACAAAACACCACUUUCUUCCCACCAGGAAUAGAGCUGAGGUACCUGAAGGGCUUUGUAAACUAAGCUGGACUCAGCUCCAUUUUGUUUGGUCCUGAGGCUGAGAGGGUGCAACAUCAUGAAAAAGUCACUUUAUCAACCCUUGUGAUUUCAUCCUGGACCAUGUGUGCUUCAUAGAGACUAUAAUUGCAAGAGAUGUAUGGAAGCCAUGGUUUGAAAAGCAGUUUGCAGAACAUCUGGUAUGUCAACAAGAAGCAAGCGGGAAGCUCCUGGGAAGACAAUGCAUUCUCCAAGGAGGUGGAAGAGGGUGUUUGGGUCCUCUCUGCCCUACCGUGGGUUGAGCAGUGAAGCCCCCAGUUCACACUGUGAAAGAGAACCCCACUGAGGUCCAUGGGAGGUGAGACAAUGGUCAUUUCAUUAAAAGAGAAACAAAGACUGAGUCCAGACAACUCCAAACCUUCUGAACUACCAUUCUGAGCU